CAGAAACUGCACCUUUUCCUGGCAGCCAGGGUUUUCUUGAGCUACGCUACUCAUCCUCAUAUGUACUUGGACUUGAACAGCACAGAGUCCUCCUGUCAGGAGCAGUUUUACACCCAGCACUCCAUAGACUGUUGCCUGUACUGUCCAGUGUAUCUUGGGGUUUAGGGGUUUUUCCUUGUUAGGAGGACUGAGCUUUGGCCAAUAGUGUUGUGAAUGCCGGCCUGGAAAAAACACCCCUGUUCAGCUCCUGCUCACCACUUGGUGAGCUCAUGCUUAAGGAGGUAUCUCCACAGGAAUCUCCACAGAGCUGUCUCAAAUGGGGAAAGAGGAAACUCCCAUAGGACUCUAAUAAAAGAUUGUACAAAAAUGACUGUACCUCACCCUGUUGUCAGUCUGCAACAAAUUGAAGAUGUUGUAAGUAAUUUCCUCAAAAUCUAAGAAUCAACAAGCAAGAAUGACCAGCAGUCAUCACUUUGGGCAGAUAAAGAAGCUUUUAUGCCUUGCUCUAUCCUGGACUAGCCCUUUUAUCAAUCUUUGCUGUUGUUUACCUACACAUUUUUCUGUCUCACAUAUAAGUCCUUCAGGGCACAAAGCAUGAGUCUGUAUGCUUUCGUGUAAGAUAACAGUAACAAUUUCACUUGACUUUUAUUGCAAUAAAGUAUGUAGCAAUGCAUUUGGAACAAAAUCAUAUGUUGAUAUUUCACAGCAAUGCCAGAUAAAACUGAUUAAGUAAGAUUCUAAUCACACUGUUAACUGUCAUUCUUUUCCACGUGAGUUUCAGCAUUUGCAGUGAAGAAUCAGUAUUGAUGAUUUUACUUAAGUUAGUGAGUAUGUUAAUUGUCUGAAUGAGAAAGAUAAACAGAAUUUUGCUAUUGAGAAGAAAUAAUUGAACGUCUGUUACAUUACAGGCUGGAUGCACUGCUACACAGCUUCACACAGCUUAAGUUGUUCAUCUGUUUUAACUUCUUGGCUAAGGUCAGAUAAUCCGUUAGAUU